rnacentral:sRNA from 1 species
GAAACAUUUUAGAAUGAAGUCCAUUGUUUAUCCACGAGCUGCAAACACAAGAGAUAGCUACAGUGUGAGUUUCCCCACACCGUCCUGUUAAUGACCUCAACUCUGACCUUGGAAGUCCUCUUGAGAGAAAAGGGGAAAUUUAGUCCAGAUCAUUUAUGGCUGUUUCCU